ACCAAUAAUACUUGAAUAAUACA
rnacentral:snRNA from 1 species